GUGCUAUAUGUAAGAGAGAAAGUCACUACUUCCUUUGACAAGGAUGAAAGAGGCAUUAACCUAAAACACACAUAUGAUUAAGAGAAUCUUUAUUUUUU
rnacentral:ncRNA from 1 species